UCUCCAGCUUUAUUCCAUGCACAAAUGAGACGGAUACUGUCACCAUUUUCUAAACCAAAUGUUCUAUUUCAAUAUGUAGAUGAUCUGUGUUUAGCAACACAGACGAAAGAGGAGCAUUUAGAAAGACUUGACGAGCUCCUGCAAAUUCUAAAAGAAGCAGGAUUAAAGUGCAAUCCAGCCAAGGCUCAGCUAAUGGCUAAUUGUGUCUCUUUCUUGGGCCUCACCCUGACAAAAUGGGGUAGAACCCCAGCGCAACAGAAGGUGUAUGCAAUCCAAACAUUGCCUUUACCACAGGAACCUACGGCUUUAAGAGCUUUCCUAGGUUUAACUGGGUACCACAGGGAUUUCAUCCCUAAUUUUGCUUCUAUUGCAGGUCCUUUGUACCAACUUCUAAAGAAAGGUGUACAGUGGGAAUGGUCUGAGCAACACACGGAGGCAGUAUCCCAACUAAAACAGGCCAUUAUCAAGGCUCCGGUGUUGAUCACACCAAAUCCUGAAAUACCCUAUCAUCUGGAGGUAGCGGUCGCAGGAGCAACUUCCUCCUCAGGACUUAAGUGAUCAGACGAAAUCGCAACAACUGGAGCCCAGCAGUUUGCAACCAUGAAAUUGACAUUGACAUUUUUGACUUAUUACACCCUUAUUGUUGCUCUAAGGGUAGGACUAUGCCAAAAUAUUAAGUCUGAAACCGAACUAUUGCAACCCCAGGAAACCAGACGACCGGAUCACACUCAGUUGUCUGAGCCCAAGCAACAGAACAUACCAACAAAGAAGGAACGGACUAUUAUACUUAAUCCAGAACUGGUCAACAACCCGAUUCAACAGGUUAAGGGAAUUCGGGGGGAGGAUGUUAUUUUUGAAUAUCAAUUAGUAGAAGUAACUACCCUCUAGUGGUUGGAAAAAGAUGUGUUAAUUGCUUUUAAAGUUGAUUGCUUUAAACAAUGAUCAGAAAAGAGAUCAGCAUUUGG